rnacentral:misc_RNA from 1 species
GAUGAAGAACGUAGCGAAAUGCGAUACGUAAUGUGAAUUGCAGAAUUCAGUGAAUCAUCGAGUCUUUGAACGCACAUUGCGCCCUCUGGUAUUCCGGAGGGCAUGCCUGUCCGAGCGUCAUUGCUGCCCUCAAGCACGGCUUGUGUGUUGGGCCCCGCCCCCCGAUCCCGGGGGGCGGGCCCGAAAGGCAGCGGCGGCACCGCGUCCGGUCCUCGAGCGUAUGGGGCUUUGUCACCCGCUCUGUAGGCCCGGCCGGCGCCUGCCGACACAUCAAUCUUUUUUCCAGGUUGACCUCGGAUCAGGUAGGGAUACCCGCUGAACUUAAGCAUAUCAAUAGCGGAGGA